rnacentral:rRNA from 1 species
UACGUAGGGUGCGAGCGUUAAUCGGAAUUACUGGGCGUAAAGCGUGCGCAGGCGGUUUUGUAAGCCAGAUGUGAAAUCCCCGGGCUUAACCUGGGAAUGGCCGUCGAAACUGGCGAACUGGAGUGUGGCAGAGGGGGGGUGGAAUUCCGCGUGUAGCAGUGAAAUGCGUAGAGAUGCGGAGGAACACCGAUGGCGAAGGCAGCCCCCUGGGCUGACACUGACGCUCAGGCACGAAAGCGUGGGGAGCAAACAGG